rnacentral:rRNA from 1 species
AACGUAGGUGGUGACGUAAGUCAGAUGUGAAAGCCCUGGGCUUAACCUGGGAAGUGCAUUUGAUACUGCGUUGCUGGAGUACGAAAGAGGAAAGCGGAAUUUCCAGUGUAGGAGUGAAAUCCGUAGAUAUUGGAAGGAAUACCGAUGGCGAAGGCAGCUUUCUGGUUCGUAACUGACACUGAGGUUCGAAAGCGUGGGUAGCAAACA